AAUGUUAUGCCUUAUUUCUGAGACAUGCUGGACCUGGAGUUUUACUAUAAAACAGUGUUAUGGAGCUGGAAUAAAACAUGAUUCGAUAAACCAUUAGCAUCCCUUUGGGGGCUUGCUGGAACAGGGAGCUCCACAUUUUGUGCGUUGUGUCCUGUAAAACCAGCAUGGCCCAGACAAGGUCUCUGUAUCCCAGACGGCCUCAUGCAGGAGUGGGACGCCCAGCCGAAGGGGUGCCGCGUGCCAUGAGGAGACUCUCACCAUGAAGGCAGCAGCUCUCAUUCAACAAUUCAUCCUUUUGGAAAUCCAGAAAACUCUUACUGCAGAUACAUAGGCGAGAGUUUCUUGGUUUGGAAAUGAAGCCAAAAGGGCUGAACUAUUUAUGGAUAAAUACUCCCCAAGAAGGAGCCUGCUUGCCAUUACAGGCCAAAAAACAGACCAAAGCCAUCUACCUUUCCUCCUCCAUGUGAGUGCCUGCUGUUUGCUGUUCUAAUGAACAAGCCAACAUCUGAAAGAAAGGCUUUAUAACUCUGCUGAAUCAACAUCCUGAAAGGAUAUAACCGGAGCUGUCAUCCUAACUGGAAAGCAGCACCAUGGUCCUUUGGAGAUGGAAGGGUAGACACCUCUGACAAAAGAAGAAUGAAUUUUUUUCUUCCUGAGGGUUUCAAAGUCCGUGGGAAAAAUGCGUUCUCUGUUCGUCACGUGGCCUUACCUAAACCAGACUGAAAGCUGCUCAGGAAAGUGGCAAUGAGGGUGUGGAGUAAAAUGUCUGAUCUCACAGUGUUUUGCAGACACACAUGAGCAAGCUCAGCCCAUGCUCUAAGCUGCUGGGGAGUCACAAAUCUGCAUUAGUGCGAUGCUGAUCCCAGACUAACAUACCUGGGCUCUCCACUGGCCUCAGCUGCUCACACCGGCUGCACCAACUUUCAGGUUGGAGCUCCCCCCAGUAACAUGAGAGCAGGUCACGCUUUGGGGCGUCUACAGCUGAAGAAGGAAAUCCUCUCUCACAGAUGUUUCUCUGACUAAGCCAUUAAUAA
rnacentral:lncRNA from 1 species